GGAUGUUACACCCCCUGCUUUGGAGCAUCUUCCGGAGGACUCUCCGUUCUCAACAAUCAAGUCUGUGUCAACAGAAUCUCUUCCUCUUGGGAAUCUCCUCCAAUGAUUAUCUUUAUGAAAAACUUUAGACCCUUGACCAAAUUGAUUGGCAUUAUUGCCUUCCCUGAUCAAUUUGUAUUUUUCCUGCUCCACAUGCCUGUCAUCUAAAAGCUUUUCUACUGGGUUGGGCCCAUGAUU
rnacentral:misc_RNA from 1 species